GAGGGCAUAGCUCAGUGGUAGAGCCCGUGCUUAGCAUGCACCAGGUCCUGGGUUCAAUCCCUAGUACCUCCA
rnacentral:tRNA from 1 species